GGAAGGGGAAAGGGAAACCUUUCCAUGUAUUCCAGUUUGUAUCUUUUACAUGGACAUGAGUUACCUAAGGGGGAGAGGAAAUCAACACUGGAUAAAUAAAAGCCCUGCUCUGAUAGCAAAGGACAAUAGUCAGUGAUUUUCACAAUGACUCUGAUGGUUGAUAGAGCUAGGAAAUAGAUUUCAGAAAGCAAAACCUUUAGCUGCUGCAGGAUCUGCCCAGCCU
rnacentral:lncRNA from 10 species